GCACACUCGAGCUGUCAGUUGAGGCCUUUUCCCUAAACCAGCUCUUCCUCGGGCCUCCCGUCAGACUCUCUCCGCUCAUCAGUUUUGAUCGACGAUGUGUGCGCGGGGAGAUAACUCAACUUUCCUCCUCCUCCCCCCUCCCUCCCUCCCUCCUCUCUCCCCUACCGGUUCCUUCCCCUGCUCUCGGCCUGACACGAGGCCUCACCGCUGCAGCUGCCAGGGCUCAAACUUUCCACCGCCGAGCCGAAGCCGCGUAAAACCUCAACGCGGGCAACAGGGAGGCCCGAGACUCCCCGGGGGGGUUGAGAGAUGUCAACUCAGCUGGAAGGGACGACACCAGCCGCCGUGACUCAGGCCGGACGCCAGCUAAGAUCAGGGCGCACCCAAAAAAAUGCUGCCCGACUCUCUUUCUCUCUCUGCUUGCAAAACCAAAAUUAGCUACACUUCCCUUUUGGUUACACCAGAUGCUGACACGGUGUUGAAAGAGGAUUGAUAGGUAAGAGCCACGUUGACUUUAGAGGCUUUGAAGCGGGGGUUAAAAAGCAGGCUUGAGUGUGCAGCAGAGAUGGAUGGUGAUGAUGAACCUGAAUGGAUCAGUCUCCACUAAUGAUGUCGGGUGAAGAUAGGAAGCCGACGUCGGCUUCCUGUGUUUCAACGAAGCGGAGCUGCAACCUCUCACCUCAGAUCAGUUGUUUUUUCAGCCCCGCGGGCCUGCGUGUGGUCUGCUUCCUUUUUAUUAACACGCCAACACUCGCCGCGACGUGGCUCAGACCCAGAGAGUCUGCUGAUUGUGAGCAUCGGAAGUUCAAAGCUGGUUUAUCAACACACACGGAAUGACGUUUGAAGGGCCACUGACAUUGAGGGUAUUGCACUACGACCUUCAAUAAGGAACAAAACUCAAGUGGAAUUUCUUACCUGAAGCGCGGAGAGUCUUUCAAACACUCCUCAAAGUCCAGCUUGACUGUCAUCUCCUCAGUUCAGAUCGCACAACAGCAAAAAGAAGAACCCCCCCCCCCCACUUCCCCUGGAUGUAUUUCUUUCUUUUUUUGGUUCGUUUCUUCGGAUCCUCCAGCAAAAAACACCAGCAGAUGCUAACUCUCCAGGUUUAGGGCUCCACUCCGAGCAGAUCGACUCAUUCUUUAGGUGUCAUUUGUAUUCCUCCCGCAGAUCGUCCUGUUUGGUUUGACUCUCUCGCUCGCUCUCCCUCUCUCUCUCUCUCUCUCCCUCGCUCGCUCUCUCUCUCUCUCUCUCUCUCUCUCUCCCUCUCUCUCUCUCUCUCAUCGCACUAUUUCCGGGUUUAUUACUCAUGGCAAACCGUGGUUUCUGAAGUAGGAAAACUUCUCAGAAUGAGAGGUUAGAGUAAAAGGUCGCUAAUACAAAUUAUAGGCUGAAUCUUUUUUAGGCGAAAUCAUAUCAAAAUGCGGAGUUUAAUGACAUGAUAUCUGAGUUUGCAUGUGAAAAAAAAGGCCCUCCCUCUUGCCGUUUGUGCGUUCAACUUUCGUUCAGUCUGAAUGAACCGAGUGCUUGAGGAGACACUGGGUGUUCUCGUCUGGCAACUUUUUGCUUCUCUGUUUUUUUCGUGUCGGCCGAGGUGUGGAGAAGGCUGCUGUUGAAAAGUCCCUAAUAAAAGUUAACAUAAUGAGUCAAA